rnacentral:rRNA from 1 species
AUUGAACGCUGGCGGCAGGCCUAACACAUGCAAGUCGAGCGGAUGAUGGGAGCUUGCUCCCGGAUUCAGCGGCGGACGGGUGAGUAAUGCCUAGGAAUCUGCCUGGUAGUGGGGGACAACGUUUCGAAAGGAACGCUAAUACCGCAUACGUCCUACGGGAGAAGCAGGGGACCUUCGGGCCUUGCGCUAUCAGAUGAGCCUAGGUCGGAUUAGCUAGUUGGUGGGGUAAAGGCCUACCAAGGCGACGAUCCGUAACUGGUCUGAGAGGAUGGUCAGUCACACUGGAACUGAGACACGGUCCAGACUCCUACGGGAGGCAGCAGUGGGGAAUAUUGGACAAUGGGCGAAAGCCUGAUCCAGCCAUGCCGCGUGUGUGAAGAAGGUCUUCGGAUUGUAAAGCACUUUAAGUUGGGAGGAAGGGCAGUAAGUUAAUACCUUGCUGUUUUGACGUUACCAACAGAAUAAGCACCGGCUAACUUCGUGCCAGCCGCCGCGGUAAAAC